CUGUUUGGUACUGGUCAGACUACCAAGGGUGGAUGCCUAAUUCCCCUCACCAAAAAAGAUGUUGAAAUGUUUCUGUUACUAGGAGUCCCAGCUGUGCUCUAAUUUUUUACUGUACAGAAAGAGCAGGGGUCAGAUGGCCUUGAUUGGCAUUGAUGUUUCUGUGAUUUCUACAUUGUGAAUUGAGGCUUGGGAGGUGAGUGUACGUCCUACUGUCCCUUGUCACUCUUAGUGGCUUCUGAAGUCAUUCUGGAUAUGGGUGAUCUUUUCUGAGAAAUACAAUAAUUCUUUGCGGGACGAGGUAUUGGCUGGGGCUGAGUGGAGGUAGUUUGGGUUCAAAAUAGUGUUUCAUGAGCUAGCUUGUCAGCCCAUCUCAAACUGACUUAAAAUGAACAUGGGCACAUUGUUUGACUGUCUCAGCAGAGGUCAAGGAUAGAAUACACAUUGAGACUUAACCUUCAAAUUACCUCUCACGUUCUGGGUCAGAGAUGAGGCACAUUGGUGGGAUAGUUUUGGGAAACUUGCAUUGAUGUGCCCCAUGAUGUACUAUAUAUUUUCUGUGGGUAAACAGAAGACUUGAACUGCCAGGGCUCCAAAGGCGUCAAUGUUCACAAGAUUGAUCUAUCUGCAAAGUAAAUAAAAGUUUCAUCUGACUGUUUCAGUAUGGAUCAGAUCAGAGUGCCUGGUGAUGAUGUCAGCAGCAGCCUUUCUGAUGCACUCAGCCAAAGCAAUCAGAAAACCAUCACAAAGGAGCAAGUGGAUCUUGUGGCUGGCCUGAAAAGAGAACCUAAAACAAGCACUGUUAAAUUAAUUGACCUUUGGAAGAUUAUCAAGAAAAACCUUCUAAAUUUUUAUUGGCUGGAGGACUUGCGCUUGUCUCUUUGCGGGGGAAGGAGUGUAUUCUGAUAUACAGAUCUACUGCAAGAGAAUGGCUGUAAACCCUUUCAUAACAGUUCUGAUAUUGUGGAUUGUUCUAAUCUGUUGAAGCUCUCUGUUUGGCAAGUAAAUCAUCCUCUUCCUGUGUCUAGGUAGUUAUUUUAGAAAGUCUUUUUACCAUAACUGGGAAAUUGAUAUUUAUUUCUUGGUAGCAUGACUCUGAUUCUCUGCUAUCUUGUACCUUGUCUCUUCUUUUCCACCUGUGAAAAGUAAGUUCAAAGUGUGUGUAAAAUCUUGCCAUUUUGAUUUCAUAGGAUUUGACUGCCAUAUUGUACACACUUUGCUGAGGUGACUGCACAAAAUGCCAGACACAAAAGAAUCUGGAUCCAUAUAUUUCUUCGUUUUAUAUGGAAAAAUAUGUAGGAGCAGGAUUUUAUAAUUGUACUAUGAGAAUUAAUGUAUGAUUUAAUUUCAUCCUGCCAGCCACCCUUUUUGAAUAGCAGAAAGGAAUGACAGACCAGAACAAUCCUUAUGACUGAUUAUGGUCACCCUUUUGUUUUAGGAUAAGUUAUAAUGUAUACUAUGGUUUCCUAAAUGUAUUACAAAUUAGGAACUCUAGUUAAAUAUACAUUUCUUUGUUUUAAGGUUUAGUAAGUAAGAGACAGGAUCUUGUAUUGUAUCUAUGUUAAGGAAAUUAGAGGAAUGUUGAGGACCUGAAGCCCCAAUGUGAAUUGUUUUCGUUAUAAGAUUUAGCAAGGCUUGAUUUACAAUGCAUUCUGCUGAAUAUAAAAUACUGCUGUCUGUAUACCUUUGAAGGUUUCUGUAAGAGAUUGUUUGUGUGAAUGAGGAAUGCAUGCAUCAGGAAAAGAUAAGGUGUGAAAGCCAUCACAAAUGUCCAGAUGGUCAAGAAAAAGUAAGAGACUUGGAAAGACCAGGAGACAAUCAGAAAACAUAAUUGUAUCAAAUGCUAAACAUGUUAGCAGCAUUGAUGACCUCAGAGGUGAGGCAGGCACCCCUGAAGGCAAGACAACAAAUAGGAGAUAACGAUGGGAAGCCCAACAAUAACCAUCAAAUGAUAACAGCAGAAAACCCCAAGAUUAACACCACAUAAGGACUAAUGAUUACAGGAUGACAUUGCAAAAUGCAUGGACUCAAGUGGGGAUUUAAAACUAUAAAGCUGGGGUGUUUUGCCAUGGAACUCUGGGUUCAGUCUUGCAAAGCCUCGGAGCAUCAGAUCACGACUGACAGAGCCCAGCUCCUCACUCGUGCUCAAUCUAACUGGCCAUUAGAUUGACUCAAGCUACAACAGACUGGUAACAUCAACUGGCAGGACUCUGUGUGUGUGUGUGUGUGUGUGUGUGUGUGUGUGUGUGUGUGUGUGUGUGUGUGUGUGUGUGUGUGUGUAGACGUAAGAAACGUNNNNNNNNNNNNNNNNNNNNNNNNGUGUGUGUGUGUGUGUGUGUGUGUGUGUGUGUGUGUGUGUGUGUGUGUGUGUGUGUGUGUGUGUGUGUGUGUGUGACUGAAAAGCAUAUGCUAACUGUUGUAUUUUCAAUAAAUGCGGUGUAUUUGCCUUCUCCUCUAUAAAA
ensembl:lncRNA